GUUGGGCACAUAUUUAUUAUGAGAGUAAAAUGUGAAAGAUAAAGAUUGACAGUAAUUAAAUCAAACUAAAAUAAAUUAGCUGUCAUUUUAUUGUAUGCCCAAUGGUAUCAAACAAAACGAGUCUUGUUCCGGAGGCAGCUCUGAAACGGAUCCUGGACAAAGUGAAGGACCCUCAAAGACGGCUUAAAACCAUACCCUUCAGGUUGCCAAUGCCGAUCCCUACCCACAGGCAACAAUGGACAUGCAAGUAUCAGAACUGUUUCAAGGAGAAAUGGAAGAAGUUGGCCUGGUCUGAUCAAUUAUGCUAUCCAGGAGAGCGCAUUGCCUACUUGGGGAACGCAUGGCACCAGGAUGCACUAGGGGAAGAAGGCAAGCUGGUGGAGGCAAUGUUCUGUUUGAAACCUUGGGUUCAUUCAUCUUUGUAAAUUUUACUUUGAAAUGUACCACGCACCUAAGCAUUAAAGCAGAUCAUGGACCACAGACCACA